rnacentral:ncRNA from 1 species
ACUGGAAUCAAACUCCUAGCCUUGGCGCCUAAGUGAUGUGUUCCUUGCAUCAUACGGCGCCCUGGCCGUGACCGUUAGCGUCACCAGGGUGCAAGGUAGAAAUGCCUGCAUCUCCCGUAUUUGGAAAGGUGUUUAUGGUUAGUCAAC